GCUUACACAUGCAAGUCGGGGGGUAUAGGUUUUCGGACCUAGAGACCGGCGUACGGGUGCGUAACACGUGUGCAACCUACCUUUAUCAGGGGAAUAGCCUUUCGAAAGGAAGAUUAAUACUCCAUAAUAUAUUAGAUGGCAUCAUUUAAUAUUGAAAACUCCGGUGGAUAAAGAUGGGCACGCGCAAGAUUAGAUAGUUGGUGAGGUAACGGCUCACCAAGUCAAUGAUCUUUAGGGGUCCUGAGAGGGAGAUCCCCCACACUGGUACUGAGACACGGACCAGACUCCUACGGGAGGCAGCAGUGAGGAAUAUUGGACAAUGGGUGAAGGCCUGAUCCAGCCAUCCCGCGUGAAGGAUGACGGUCCUAUGGAUUGUAAACUUCUUUUGUAUAGGAAUAAACCUAGAUACGUGUAUCUAGCUGAAGGUACUAUAC
rnacentral:rRNA from 1 species